ensembl:lncRNA
CACGGAGGCGCUUCCGGCCGUGGGGCUGGGUCGACGAAGGGGUUACGACGGGGCGGCCCGCCCCCGCCCAGGCCCCUCCUCUCCACGCCUGCGCCGGCACCGGGGGUGGGGCCGCGCGGUACCCGGCCGCCCCGAGAUCGACCCCUCCCCCGCGAGGGGCGGGAUUAGGUUCAGGCCACGGUGGGGGCCGAGCGGGCCGCGACAACCCCCACUCCGCAGCCUGGGCGCGCGGUCCGCGGGGCCCGGAGGCGGCGCUAGCUCGGGAAGGAGGGGGUCAAGCGGCAGGAAGUGCGCUCUCCCACCGCGUCCUGAGCACAGUGACCCCCUCCCGUCCGACGCGCGGGGGAGAAUUGGGAUGGCGGGAGAGAGAGGGGUACCCUGGGGAGGAGGCGCCUCGCGGGCACGUUGCGCUGGAGCGAGCCCUCGCUCAGGGGGAUGGGGCAGGAAGGAAGAGGCCUUGGGCAGCUGGCGUGUGCCCCAGUGAUCUGGCUGAAACAGGCCCAGAGACCCCUGCUGAUGCCCCGAGGACCGAGGUUCCCAGGGUGCCUCAAGUCCACAGUGAGCUGCCCACGCUGCACAGGAGCCAGACUGAUGUUCAGAGGCCGAGGCCCGGCUGGAUAGGGCUGGCAUCGUCAGUGGCCGCUUGAGCUCCUGGAACAGAAAGAGGCUGGCAGGUACCUUCCGGGCACCUCCUGUAGGCCACACACUUCGCCAUGUACCGAGCUGUGCUGGUGAACAGAACUGAAGAAGUGCCGGCCUUUGGGAGAUUCCUGUGUGAGAUGCAUGGCGUGCUGGCCCGUAACAUGUGCAGGGGAAGAGAGAGUUGGGGGCGGGGGGCUUUGAAGCAGGUGACCUAGGAAGGUCUUGUGAGCAGGUGAAGAAAAGAAAGUGUUAGUUGCUCAGUUGUGUCUGACUCUUUGUGACCUCAUGGAUUGUAGCCUGCCAGGCUCCAUGGGAUUCCCCAGGCAAGAGUACUGGAGUGGGUUGCCAUUUCCUUCUCCAGGGAAUCUUCCCGACCCAGGGAUGGAACUGGGGUCUCCUGCACUGCAGGCGGGUUCACCUGCCAAGCAGGUGAAGGGCACAUGCAGAGGCCGUGAGGCAGAGCGUACCUGGCUCAGCUGAAGGGCUGCAGGGAGUGGGGGCCAUGGGGGGCCAGGGCAGUGAGCUGUGGGUGCCAGCUCUGGUUGGGCCUGCAGUCCUGGUCACGAUGUGGCCCAGCGGCCCCUUGUGUUGGGGAGGGGUGUCGGGUGAGAUGGCUCGUGCUGCGGCUGCACCUUGAGCACCCGCAGGGUCAUUGUGGGGUGGGGCAGGGAUGUGACCCACAGAGCCAGAGAACAGUCGGAUGCUGACGGUUUGGGCCUUGACGACAGAAAGUUGUGGUGUUCUCCAUGGAGCAGGAGGAGCUGGUAUGGAGCACGUCAGGUCUGAAGGGCCCUGGACCCCCGCCCAAGGGGGCUGCCCCACCAUUGCUACUGGCCAUGUGGCUGGGAGAGAUCAGAAAUCUGGAGGAGGGACCGGGCCCUGGGCCCCAAGGCUGAAUCAGGGGCGGGGUGUGCAGGGUGGGGCAUACCAGGGCCAAGAGUGAUGUCUGGAGCCCCUGGGGUGUGCUGGGUAGAGGAGGCAGGGCCCCUGCUGGGAGUACUCCACAGGUGGGGUAGAGUGCUCAUGGGGGAGAAGGAGGGCGUCGACCAUAGGUGUGGGAGGGCAGUGGGUGCUGGAUUGAGGGUGAUGGCCAGGAGGGCCUUUAAGAUGGGAGACAGCAGCUGGGGCUUCAGUGGCCAGUCCACCCUGGCCCGGAGGUGACUGCCGGCCAGGACCAGAGGGCUCUGGGUGUCCCUUCCCCCAUUCCGUGAAGAAAGCAGG